AUCGUGCUCACUUUCCUCUGCAUUCCUGCUGGUCUGCUUGCAUGGAGACUUUUUCCCAUCAUUUAGCCUCAGAGCCAGUUCAUGCUGCCGCACUGUAAAACACACAGUCUCUGUGUCGUGAGGUGCAUACCCAGGUCUAAUGCAAGACUGCGUCUCAGCCAUGCCUUCUUAACCUCUGCCUGCACCUGUUCAUCGUGGAGAGAUAUAAAAAGAAAGAGAGAGACAGAGAAACAAACACAAAUUUAAAGGGGCAAGAAAAUAAAUUUCCAGUCUUACAGUAUAGGCUACAUUUAGGCUAAAUGUAGACUGAGUGCACAGCAGUGAAUCAACUGUAUUUGAAGUGCACCCUUUUUUGGAGCUCUUCAGUGUGAACUCACUACUAGUGCUAUUUUUGCAACAAAAUUGCGUAGUGCAUUUACAUAAAUUGAGAUCCACCUAUCAACCUCCAUUUUAUUUAAGAACGGAUGUGGCUAUUUGUAACUUGAAUGUGCGAGGUAUCAUCAGCUUCCAGUUAUUUUUAUCUGUAGAAAACAGCUUGUAAUGCUGCUUGAUAUUGGAAACUGGUAUUUUUUUUUAUUGUUAAAAUGUAGUACAUGCAUUACUGUAAUUAUAAACACACUG